rnacentral:lncRNA from 1 species
ACUGACUUAGAAGGGCUGGGGCAUCUAUGCCAGGCUAACCUUUAUAACUUUAAAACCAUAAACCUUAUAAAGCCAUAACCUUAAAAACACAUAUGUGUUGUUUUCUUGUGCAUGCAAUCUUUUUAAAAAUUAAACUAACAUAUUUAUGUAUUACUGGAAUAGCUCCUUAUAUUAUUUGGCCUUUUUUUCCUCUGCACAGCUAGACUGUAUACUCAAAAGACAUCAGAACUGUGUUUAUUAUCUUUAUCUAAUAAAAUCUAUCAAAUUGGGGGGGAGGGAGGAUUAGAGAGAUGGCUGAACAGUUACGAACACUGGUUGCUCUUCCAGAAGUCCCGAGAUCAAUUCCAAGCACCCACAUGGUGACUCAUGACUAUAAUAUAGCACUACCUUAAUAUAAUUUAUAAAUGACUGAGACUUUUCAUUAUAUUAAUACAUUUCAUUAUAUGAGUUCUCAACCCUUGAAACAGGUCUCCAGGAACCAUCUAAGGAUCUUUGAUUGUCCGAUUUUUACAUCAUCACUGAAAGAAAAGAAAGCCUUGUGGUUAUCAUAGGAACUGUCUCAUAUACCACAAAAAUCUACCAGCAAUAUAGUUCCUCCUGGUGGCUAAGGCUGUUUGUGUCCCUGGUUUGGGGCCAGUGAGACUUGACAAGGAACACUGAUGGGAAACAGUUGGCGGGAGGAUUCUUCACUUCUGAGCCGUAGCCCAAAUGGAGGUUUCAGGCUCCUGACGUCUCGUGUUCUUCCUCUCAGGUGACUUGCUUUCUACAUGCCUUAACUGUGCCCUCUGUUGUAUCUACUAUGAUAAACCAGUAGCAAGGACAUUACUGUCGUGAGAAAUGGAGAACAUAACAGACUAAGGUGAUGGAAGGAAAGAGUCUUGUCAACAUCUUGGCCUUGCAGUCUCCAGCUUCCACACUGUCAAGAAAUGAGUAUCUAUUGUUUAAUCAAAAAAGUGUUUUCUGCUCUUAAGCAAAAGGACAAUGCUGUACUUACCUUCCAGCUGUCCCCUUCUCUGCCCUCAGACUGUGACAAUCAUGUUUUGACCACAAGAACAAGAUGUAAGACCCAAGGAGAGAGGGGGAGAGGGAGGAUGGCUCAUGGACACCAAAAUACGGACAGAAGUAAUAAAUUGUUCUGUUCUACAAAACAAUAGAAUAGGUGUCCCCACAGUAACUGCUGCCAUAGUCCAUAAAAGUCACUAGAAGGGAGAUGUUUGUUGGCUUCGAACACAAAGCAACAAUGACAGAAAGAGGAACAGCUCUGAUUUGAUUAGUGCCUGUGGUACAGACACAUGUAUUGAAAUGUCACUUGACCUGCUGGUCCAGCUCAGUGAGAGCCCAGUGCUUUUUACUUGAAGUCUGGAAAGCUGGCCGAUUUGUAUUGUUGACAAUGUUGGGGACAAAGAGUAGAUGAUGAAGAAUUAAAGACGUGGUUGCAUCAGAAUUGUAGUACUUGGAGACUUGUUAUUCCCUCUGAGUGUCCUACUUCCCUGCGGGGGUCUCGGUCCACCAUGGCCCACAAAGUGAUGUGGGAGGCAAGAAGGUAGUAAGAUCAACACAACUCAGUAGCUGGAGUUCAUUCAAACUUCAGGAGUCUCCCCCUGAGUAGCUUAUUUCAGGCACACUUAAGCAGGGCACAAUUUGGUGAAAAUCUUCCUCACAGUAACUAAUUCUGUAUGCACAAUAAAGUUUGAGAUGUGACUACAUUGAAGCUCUUUAUGAAGUAGAUAUGACGUCUUCCAUAAAGACGGCUUCUAUAGAUUGACAGGCGCAUGAUAGGGGUCUGGGGGAGGCUCCAGUGUGGUCUUGACACACGAAUACUGCAAAGGUGGCCGGGCUGUCAACCAUCUCUGCUCCCAGCCUUCUGUGCAGAUAAAGAGGUUAUGCAUCCCUGCCUUAGAAAGAACCUCCGUGUGUGUUUAACAUUCUUGUUUCCUUUGGUGCUUAACUGUGAGCACGAGGACUCCAUGCUCCUAC